AAAACUAUACAUGAUUAGUCAUUGGUCAGAAUGAAAAUGUCAAAAUUAUUCUCAUGACCAUACAAGAUACAUGCCCAAGGAUCUAUAACUCCCUCACUGCUUAUCAUCCUUACAUUAUAUUUGGGCUGCAUUUUGGAAAAUGAGAAUUACACACAUCCAAGAUCAAUCCAAGAUACUUAUGCUAUGUUUACCAUGCCCUGUGGGUGAGAAAGAAAUGGAAAUUUGAACUGACUUGCUAUGUGAGACAAUCUGGCAGGUGGUGGAGUUCUGCAACUUGGCCAGAAGUGAGGCACCCAGUCCCCAGGGUAAAUGUUUUGGCAGGAUGAUGAAUGCCAGGCAGGGCACGCAUGUACAGGAGUCAGGUGGUGUCAUUUAUGUCCAUCCACAAGUGACUGUUUAGCAUGGGUAACAAGAAACUAAUUUCACUUUGGUCAGGUGAGGGUGGACUUAAUUCUAAAACUGGAGAGAGGCACACAUGAAGACUUCUGAACACCAUCACAGCAUCAUAGUGCUCUGCCCUCAUGCAGUCCAAGCUCUGAAAAGGCUGUCUACUACUUUCUUCAAAGGAAUCUGUCAAUGAGAGCCAUACAAGCAGAAAAAUUCAAAGGCACACAUCCUUUAACUUUUCCUGCCAUGUUUGUGAUGAAGGAGGAACAGCUUGAGACAGAAGCAAACAAUCUGACAAUGCCUUGGUUUAUCUCCAGCCUGGAAGGAACUGAGUUACUGGGCUAAUGAGUUCACAAGUCUGCCAAGACAUGUUGCCCUUGGUAAAGAGGUUUCAGUAAUCCCACAGAUGCAGGUGGAGGGAUGUUUUAGAAGAAAACUUGUUGGUAUUCUUUAAAGAAAAAAGAAGGAAAAAUGGCUGAUAUUGCCCUCUGGAAUAGUUUGAGGCUUUCCCCAAACACGUGAAUAAUACUUACUCUAUCUCAAAUAAGAAGAUGGUACUACACUUAAUAUUCUUGUCAUUUACAACUUUGCUGUGCAAUAAAGCUCCAUAGGCACCCCCAAGUAUUUGGU